AAUAAGAUUCUAUUAAUUACAAGCAAAAAAGGAAAAUAUGGCUCAAAUUCUCAUUUUUGUUUAUGCUUUCAUCAUCCUUUUUUCUCUAUUUGUUUUUUUUACCAGUGGCGCUAUUCCCUGCGGUACUCGUGAUGAUUGCCCAAAGACCACUACAUAUAUGUGCUUUAAUAACAUUUGUGUACUCCUUAGAUAAUGUAUAUUAUUUAGAUAUUUAUAUAUAAAUUAGUUAAUCAUGGUUUUUAAAUUUAUGACUUAAUUUGGUAGAAUUUGUUACCAACGUAUUACCAAAUAAGAUUUGUUACCAACAUGUGCCAAAUAAGACUUCUUCCUAAUUAUUGGUUACUUUUAAUUUGAGUUUCUUUUUGUUA